rnacentral:rRNA from 1 species
AUGCAGACGUGCGCAGAUUGGUUAGUCCGUUGCUUGACGUCUCUCUGCUCUUCUCUCCCCCGGAGCAUAUCUCUCUGCUCACUGCGUUGCGUUUCUCAGAGAGAGCUCAUGGCGACGGCGUUGGUGGCGGGAGCGCUCCGGCGGGGGAGAUCCGGCGCCCGCGGCGCGGCCGAGAGGACGCUGCGUAGGCUCGUGAGCACUCUGGUCGUGGCGGAGCAUGAAGGUGGGCUCGUGAAGCCCUCAUCUCUGAGCGCAUUGGCGGCUGCCGAGGCCAUCGCCAAAGAGAACAAGGUGUCUCUUCUUCUCGGCGGAUCCGGACCGACGCUGCACAAGGCUGCUGAGCAUGCUGCGUCUAGCCACCCAUUGGUCAAUGAGGUUCUUGUCGCGGAUUCAGACGUGUUUGCGCAUCCUUUAGCCGAGCCUUGGGCCGAGCUGCUCCGCUCCGUGCAGCAGAAAGGCGGAUACUCUCAUGUUAUAGCCUCUUCGACAUCGUUCGGGAAGAAUUUGCUUCCGCGCGCUGCGGCUCUUCUAGAUGUCUCCCCUGUCACGGACGUCACUGCAAUCUCUGAGCCCCGGGUCUUUGUGAGGCCAAUCUAUGCUGGGAAUGCACUCUGCACUGUACGAUAUACUGGGGAGUCUCCUUGUAUGAUGAGUAUUAGAUCAACAUCAUUUUCUCCAGCUACCGAGUCUGUGUCAGAAACUAAAGUUGCACCUAUAACCCAGGUUGAUCUCUCUUUCCUCAGUGAAGCAAGCUCAAGGAAAUCUUCAUGGGUGAAUCUUACAUCCCAAGAUACAGAACGGCCAGAUCUUGCAAAUGCACGCGUGGUAAUCACUGGAGGCAGAGGUUUGAAGAGCGCCGAGAAUUUCAAAUUGUUGGAGCAGCUGGCAGAGAAACUUGGCGCGGCAGUGGGUGCGACCAGAGCUGCCGUCGAUGCAGGAUAUGUGCCGAAUGAACUUCAAGUUGGGCAGACCGGGAAGAUUGUUGCGCCUGAGCUCUACAUUGCUUUCGGAGUUUCAGGGGCGAUACAACACUUGGCAGGGAUGAGAGAUUCCAAGUACAUCGUGGCGGUCAACAAAGACGCGGACGCCCCAAUCUUUCAGGUCGCGGAUUACGGGAUCGUUGGCGAUCUGUUCCAGGUCCUGGAGGAGCUCCUGGAGAAGAUCCCAGACAAGAAAUGA